UGAAAUUCCUAUCUCCCAAGUCUUUUGGUAAUUAAAUGUUAAGUUUAUCAAACCUACAGAUAUAAAAAUUUUACAUCCGAAUAGUAUGAAAAACCUGACAAAAAUUAGGUGUUUGUUUCACUUUCCUUACUCCUUAUUCCUUUUCUAUUCAGGUCUUUCAGGCUAGUGAAACAAGAUUGGAAAGGACAUAACAGAAGCAAAGUACUCCUCCCAUUCCCAUACAAAAACAGUCUGCUUAGCAAGUCAUGGGCCACCAUUUCUGGGAGCACCACAGGAGUUAACCUCACCUCCCAGAGAAAGGUGACUGGUCGGGUCGGAUCUGGGUCUAUGGCCAUGAACUGCCUGGAUGGGAUUUGAAGACAUUACAGACCAUCCGUGAAAGGAAGAUGGCUAAACCGAUUCUGAUCCCUCAGAAGUGGCUUAACUGAAAACAAGACCUCAGGGGCUCGGUUUCUGUUUUAAAGAGCCAAGUAGUCCUCUAAUUCAUGGGACCAUAGGAUCUUUAUGUCCCCUGUCUGAUUUUAGCUUUUAUCUGUUGGUCCUUUGCCAAUAGUCUUGUAUCUAAUUUUUGCAAGCACUGUAUGAGGAUGUCUUAGACACUUGUUUUGGCCCACCAAACAUCCAUUCCACUUUUUUUUUUUUUUUUUUUUGACAGUAGUGGCCUGACUUCCUUUUAGAAAAUUACUUUUUCCCCAUUUUAUAGUAUCCAGGUAGGCAAUAAAUUAAGACUCCUUAGCCA
rnacentral:lncRNA from 12 species